AUCAUUUUGCAGAUCCACGCUUCUGUCAGGACGGAUGAGGAGGGAAAAGAAGGGGAUGGAUGUGGGAAGACCUCUUGGGAGCUAUGGAAUCUGUCCAGCAUUGUUUACAAUAGCCAAGAUAUGGAAAAUAACCUAAGUGUCCAUGGACAGAUGAAUGGAUAAAGAAGAUGUGGAAACUUGAAGAAAAAAGAGACUAGGAAUCUAAUCUAAAAAGGCAAAUGUCUCCAUUCAUCUGUUUUCUACCUCCUGUUAUCCCUGUGUACAGUCACAUCCACACAGCGUGCUCCAGGUUAGGAGAACCAACCUCCUCUUUGGUCUUCCACAUAGUCAAUUACCAAUGGUCUUUGGAAUUCAGUUCUUGGCAUCGGACCACCUUGCCUUUACCCUAAUGGUUGAUGUUCACUCUAAUCACUGGAGAGUAGGCUCCUGGCUUCUGGAGAAGGAAGCAUUUGGCUUCUCAGAGGGCAAGGGUUCCACCAGUUAGGGAAGAAUGGUGAAGAUAUGGGUAGUGGG